UUGAUCCAUGGCUCAGAUUGAACGCUGGCGGCAGGCCUAACACAUGCAAGUCGAGCGGUAGAGAGAAGCUUGCUUCUCUUGAGAGCGGCGGACGGGUGAGUAAUGCCUAGGAAUCUGCCUGGUAGUGGGGGAUAACGCUCGGAAACGGACGCUAAUACCGCAUACGUCCUACGGGAGAAAGCAGGGGACCUUCGGGCCUUGCGCUAUCAGAUGAGCCUAGGUCGGAUUAGCUAGUUGGUGAGGUAAUGGCUCACCAAGGCGACGAUCCGUAACUGGUCUGAGAGGAUGAUCAGUCACACUGGAACUGAGACACGGUCCAGACUCCUACGGGAGGCAGCAGUGGGGAAUAUUGGACAAUGGGCGAAAGCCUGAUCCAGCCAUGCCGCGUGUGUGAAGAAGGUCUUCGGAUUGUAAAGCACUUUAAGUUGGGAGGAAGGGCAGUAACAUAAUACUUUGCUGCUUUGACGUUACUGACAGAAUAAGCACC
rnacentral:rRNA from 1 species